rnacentral:rRNA from 1 species
CAGAGGUCCCGAGCGUUGUUCGGAUUCAUUGGGCGUAAAGGGUGCGUAGGCGGCUUUCUAAGUCUGAUGUGAAAUCCCGGGGCUCAACCCCGGAACUGCAUUGGAUACUGGGAAGCUAGAGUACUGGAGAGGAGACUGGAAUUUACGGUGUAGCAGUGAAAUGCGUAGAGAUCGUAAGGAAGGCCAGUGGCGAAGGCGAGUCUCUGGACAGUUACUGACGCUGAGGCACGAAGGCCAGGGGAGCAAACGGG